CCUACGGGUGGCAGCAGUGAGGAAUAUUGGUCAAUGGUCGGGAGACUGAACCAGCCAAGCCGCGUGAGGGAGGAAGGUACAGAGUAUCGUAAACCUCUUUUGUCAGGGAACAAAUGCGGGGACGUGUCCCCGGAUGAGUGUACCUGAAGAAAAAGCAUCGGCUAAUUCCGUGCCAGCAGCCGCGGUAAUACGGAGGAUGCGAGCGUUAUCCGGAUUUAUGGGCUUUAAGGGGUGCGCGGGGGUUCUGGUAAGUCAACGGUAAAAGCCCGGGGCUAAACCCCGACCCGCCGUUGAAACUGGCAGUCUCGAGUGGGAGAGAGGAAUGCGGAAUGCGCGGUGUAGCGGUGAAAUGCAUAGAGAUCGCGCAGAACUCCGAUGGCGAAGGCAGCAUGCCGGCUCCACACUGACGCUGAGGCACGAAAGCGUGGGGAUCGAACAGGAUUAGAUACCCCGGUAGUC
rnacentral:rRNA from 1 species